ensembl:snoRNA
UGCCUUUGUGUUGCCCAUUCAUUCACUUCCAGAAUGAAUGUGGUGUCAAAAAAGGCAAACAGGAAUUCUUGCUAAAACUGUUUAAGGAGUUGGUUAAUGUACCUUUUCUCCUCCCUGGUUUUGCAAGGACAAAA